UUGAGAUUCCCACCUGACGUGGCAUCUCUGUUGUCUCCUUUUUGGGUGUCCCAGGAACCGUGUUUUGCACGUAUUGGCGCAAAGCUGACCUGAAUGUAUGGGAAUUCUACUCUGACACCCUGCUGUGGAUUUCCCGUCUCGUCCCACUGCGUCUGCAUUAGCCGUGCCUUCCACCAGACGAGAGAGCUCCUUCCUGAUGGACUUGCCUGCAGUUCCCUGGGUGCACCCCAACAGCAGCAAGAAGGGGAGGCGAAUCCACAGCUUGCUGUUCACAGGAGCACAAAGGCAGGUUUGAACUUCUGAGAGGUAAGCCUAGUUCUACACUAGAUGGAGAGAGACCUGGGCAAAGGAUGAGGCUUAGUGGAACACUGCAUCAAAUGGGUCUCAGCAUCCUCGACAUUCCACCUGGAGACUGGGGUGGAGUAAUAAGAUCCUGGUGGAUGGCACCAUUGCUUGAGGCCUCCCUCCCCAUCCUUCUAAAUAAAAGAUUUUUGGGGGGCCCCUGGGUGGCUCA
rnacentral:lncRNA from 12 species